rnacentral:rRNA from 1 species
CUGGAAUCGCUGUAAUCGCGAAUCAGAAUGUCGCGGUGAAUACGUUCCCGGGUCUUGUACACACCGCCCGUCACACCAUGGGAGUCAGCAACGCCCGAAGUCAGUGACCCAACCGAAAGGAGGGAGCUGCCGAAGGCGGGGCAGGUGACUGGGGUGAAGUCGUAACAAGGUACC